GGACCUGAGGGUGAUCUGGCUUUGACAUCUGUCAUCCCAUUGAUCACCAGGAUUAUUUUGGCUGAUCUGGCUGACUAGUUGGUGUCACCUCCUCUCUCAUUUCUCCAUGUGUAUCCCUCCUGAAGCUACAUGCUCAAAGAAGAUUACCUAAGACUAGUCUUCAAUCAAGUGUAUACAACUAGCUGUGCUCCCUGCUAGAACCUCCAAUCAAGCUCUCACAAAAAUAUAUUCAAAGCAGUAGUAGAGAAAUACUGAGUCACAUAGAAAGGCAAGCCCAUCAGCAUAACAACCAAUUU
rnacentral:snRNA from 1 species